rnacentral:lncRNA from 1 species
AAAAAAAAAAAAAAAACUUCCUGUGGACCUAGCAUGAAGGGUCAGAUGCCCUGUGCGGGCCAUGUGGAGCAGUGUCGGGCAUGCAGCUGACAUUCUCUGUGCCAGCCAUCAGACAAUCCCACCAGUGGCAAAUAGCUCGUGACAAAGCCAGUGAUGUAAACAUACUCUGGCUUCUUCGUCAAACAUGAUUGCCAAAACAAAAACAAAGAAACAAAGUCUCAAGUUAAUUUGGGCAUCUGAGUAAGCUCUUCGUCACAGCUCUUGCCCUUGGAGUUUGCAGGAUCUUUUAAAGGGGCUAUAUCCCCGCGGUGCUAGAUCAUGACCGCACUGUUAGCUUUGGAAGUGGGACCAACGGAUGCCCCUCUCUGACCCUCUUUUCUCUCCCAUGAUAUUUAAACAUUUCCUCACAAACAAGGGUUCAGACAUUCUAAAUAAAUAGGUGUUAAGGAGAACAAUGUUGUUGCUGAAGUAGGAAGCUGCUUCCGCACGUGGGCUCCUGACAUCACUUCAGCCUCAUCUUCUGCCAGGAAGACAAGCAGGAACUCUGAGAGCAAAUAGUGAUGCUUUUUUCCCUUGGAGUUCAGGCAUGUUUUCCUUCUUUUGUAAGAGUUGUGUCUACUGAAGAAUAUGUUGCUAGCACUGUUGUUGUGUGAAAACUAAAAUGCACUGGGGUGUUUUAUACAUUAUAUCAUUUUAAAUAGAACUUUUGUUUGUUUUUCUGUCCAUUCAAACUGCUCCCCCAGGAACUUCAGGUAAGACGAUGUUACUCUUACUUAAUUCUGGUGCACAGGCAGGUGCAUUGUAUCUUUGUGUAGUUCUAUAACAACCGGAGCGCUUCACCUUCCCUCCAGCACGUCUGCCUAUCUGUGUGUAGACUUCUUCUUAAGUGUUUGAUAGAUGAGGGUUUGUUUUUUUUCGGGGGUCGGGGGGAAGGAGGAUUGUUUGUUCGUUGUUUUUUGGUUUGGUUUGGUUUUGCCCUGCCCCUCCCCCUUGGCUGCUCUAGUAUCGAAAUAUCUUCUAAAAUAUAAAAAUGCUUUCGUAUCCUUAGUUCUGGAAGUUGCAUGGUUGCAUCUCUUGAGAGGAGAUAAGUCUUUGACUGUGGUCUAGGGGUAGGCACCGUACUGCCUCCUAUGAAUGGGUUUUGUUGCCCUGUAAAUGGUGAAGGAAAUCAGGCUGAGGAUGUACCUAAGUGGUACAGUGUCUAGGUAGCAGGAAUUGAGGCCCUGAGUUCCAGCCCCAGUACUCCUGGAAAAACAAAAAUCAAAAACAAACAAAACAAAAACCACUUUCUUUUCUAAAAAUCCAAAGCUAUCGCUCUGUGUCUGGCAACUAGAUAAGUUAAUUUUCAUCCAAACCAGGUGCUCUGC